AAUCAACGCUGGCGGCGUGCCUAACACAUGCAAGUCGAUCGAGAAAGUGGAGCAAUCCAUGAGUACAGAGGCGCACGGGUGAGUAACACGUGACUAACCUACCCUCGAGUGGGGAAUAACCUGGGGAAACCCGGGCUAAUACCGCAUAACACCUACGGGUCAAAGGAGCAAUUCGCUUGAGGAGGGGGUCGCGGCAGAUUAGUUAGUUGGCGGGGUAAUGGCCCACCAAGACGAUGAUCUGUAUCCGGCCUGAGAGGGCGCACGGACACACUGGAAC
rnacentral:rRNA from 1 species